rnacentral:lncRNA from 1 species
UAGAGUCAAGAAUAGAAUGCUUAUUACCUUUAGUAUUUGUAGUUAAGAUAGUCUAAGAUUUCAAGAGCCAGGGAUAGUAGGACUAAAGCAAGCAAGGUCUAAAAGGCAAGGUCAAGAAAAAGCGGGUGCGCGAGCACCAGUUAUUUAGUAAAGUACAGGGGAAAGAAAGAGGUGAUGAAGCUGUAGUGGCUCUCCCCCGGUUUGACAGACCAGAGAUUCAUUUGUCUUUUGUCUCAUGCAGGGCACCCUCGGCGGUCGUAUGAUUAGAAAACCCUCCUCUAUUCCCCAGCGUCCAAGCAGUCACGUGCCUCUUCCAUCCGUUCGGUCCUCGCUCUCAACGAAAACUACCCGACGAAAGGAAUAUUGAAGCAACCUUUCGCAUAGCCCUUUCUUUCUUGGGCAAUUGAAUCAGGAACCGAUGCAGAAGACAAUAGGGACCUAACCGCUGCAUCUCAUGCCCUGAGCUCUUUUGGGGGUUGAAUCUCUUUUUGGAAUAUUUUUUAUAUUUCCCGAAAGCACAUGAAACUUCCUCUUAUUCGAUCUUAUUGGCUUAGCCUGGAGAGUUAGCUGAUGCUGAUCUGGUAGUGUCAAAGAGGCGAUUCUCAACAGCUUCAACAGCAGAGAUUAUCGGACAUGAAGAUAGGAUGAAGGUGGUGGGAUGAAGCAGUCUUUAAAAAACAAUUGGUAAGGGAAGGCAAAGAAGUAACUGAGGGAAGGGACCUUUACCAUUUAGCUUCUUCCGCUUUGGGGGAUUCCACUAAUAGAACAGAACCCGAG